GAUGAACGCUGGCGGCGUGCCUAAUACAUGCAAGUCGAGCGAACGGACGAGAAGCUUGCUCCUCUGAUGUUAGCGGCGGACGGGUGAGUAACACGUGGAUAACCUACCUAUAAGACUGGGAUAACAUCGGGAAACGGGUGCUAAUACCGGAUAAGAUUUUGAACCGCAUGGUUCAAAAGUGAAAGACGGUCUUGCUGUCUCUUGUUGAUUGAUCCGCGGUGCAUUAGCUAGUUGGUAAGGUAACGGCUUACCAAGGCAACGAUGCAUAGCCGACCUGAGAGGGUGAUCGGCCACACUGGAACUGAGACACGGUCCAGACUCCUACGGGAGGCAGCAGUAGGGAAUCUUCCGCAAUGGGCGAAAGCCUGACGGAGCAACGCCGCGUGAGUGAAGAAGGUCUUCGGAUCGUAAAACUCUGUUAUUAGGGAAGAACAUAUGUGAGAGUAACUGUGCACGUCUUGACGGUACCUAAUCAGAAAGCCACGGCUAACUACGUG
rnacentral:rRNA from 1 species